UCACAAGUAAUCUUCUUUCAUCUCAGAAAUAUUGCUAAGAUAAGAAAUAUGAUGUCAUUACAUGAUGCAGAAACAUUAGUUCAUUCAUUUCUUACCUCUUGGUUGGAAUAGUGUAAUACUUUCCUGUCUGGAUGUUCCAGUAAGAGCAUAAACAAGCUCCAGUUAGUCCAGAACGCAGCAGCUAGAAUCCUAACUAGAACCGGAAGAUGUGAACACAUCACCCCUGGCUUAUCCUCAUUGCAUUGCCUCAAUUGAACCUAUGUUGUCAGUCAGCUGUAUGGUCUGGUCUUUAUCAGCAAUCAUUUGAAGACUAUGAUGGGAAGGAAUAAGUGUUGGGCCCAUGGUGAACUCAGAAUUUGUGCUUACCCAUUCGUUCCACAGGAGCUCUUAGUUGCACAACUAUAAACGGUUGUAGAAAGGACAUUAUUUACAUUUACAUUAUUUACUGUCCAGUGUCACCCAAAUGAGGAUGGGUUCCCUUUUGAGCCUGGAUCCUCUUGCUUAUUAGGGAUAGUGAUUGAAAAAUUACUUGAUUUAUCAUCUCCCUCCCUCCGGCUACAACAGUUUAUAGUGUAUUUGCAACCGAGAGCUUCUUAGGAACUCCUGGGUCAGCGCAAAUUCUCCAUAGACCCAACACUAAUGCUUCCCUGAAAAUGUCUUCAAUUGAUUGCUGAUAAAGACCAGACCAUACAGCUUACUGAUGCAACAAUGGUUAAGAAGGCAAGACAGUCCUGACUAGGUUUUAUAGAGGGACCACUGAGAACAUCCUGAGCAUCUGUUUGUUUGGGAAUUGCGCCAUCUCGGAACACAAGACCCUUUAGUAGACAGCUGAGAAGAUCAUUGGAGUUUCUUUCAUUUAUCACAGACAUUUACAAAACACGCUGCAUCCACAACCUGAUAAGAAGUCCAUAGUAGAAGUCUUAAAGUUUUAAAGGAGAGCUUAAUACCUCUUUAGCCUAUGACGGAAGUAACUUUUACAGUGUUUUCCCAAGGCAGGGUGUGUUAUAUUAAUGUUUUUUUUCCAAUUUUGUUUGUAAGCCUUUGGUGAGCAGUACAUUCAAACAAUGUAGUCAAAGUCCUUACACCAUUUAUGAAAUUAUUUUUCCAAUUAAUCUGAAUGCUCUAUAGUCUAUGUGUCCUGGUACUGACAACUUAACAGCAUAACAACCUCUUUUUCAUCAUUGAACAUGAAUCCGUUGGUACAGCCAUUUGACAAUGACCAAUAAUUAAUAUUUUCAUGUGCUUGCUGGUGAAUACUUAUCUACAUGCAUAUAUAUAUGAGUAUAUUUCAGCUGAUGAAUGUUAACCGAUUCAAAGUUUGGGCCCCUGAGAAAGCCCCUUAACCCUCAGCUGUAUAAGUGAGAUAAAUGCAAGUUGCUCUGGAUAAGGGCAUCUGCCAAAUGCUCUAGCUUAUUGAAUUACUUUUCAUGCUUUGAUAGCAUCUGUUUUAUGAGAUCACCUUGCUGUUAAAUCCUUUUACUGAAGGUACAGUGCAUUAUCUUAGACUUUUUUUGUGACAGACUGCACCUGCUAUCCCAGGGUGUUUUAUACUUGCUAAAAGAUAUAGGAGGGCGAGGGGUAAUUCAUCUUUAGUCGAUUUCUAAAUUGUGGAAGUAAUUUAUUAAAGGUUAAUGUGAAAGAGGCUCUUGGAUAUGAAAAAAAAUGUUGCUUAAUACAGGCCCUUACCAUUGAGCACUUAUGUAUAUUUAUUACUUGUGUUAUUAGAAUAGUUGUCUAAAUGUAAAGUGUUGGUAAGUUUGAAUACAACAUCUGACUAGAGGAUAAUACUUGCAAUGUACAAUAUUUUCUUAGAGUUAGAGCAAGUGUAUUGGCCUAACCUUGCACUUGGAUAACAAUAUAAAUAUUUCUUAAAUAGGCUAUAAAAGACUUUAACCUAAACAUUCAUUGUAUGACUAAGUCUCAUUGGAGCAUGGGUAUAAAUCACUUCUAGUGUUGACUAGAAGAUUUUAAGAUUACCUUAUGGACUCACAAGUAAUGUGUAAUAAUGUGUAAUUAAAUUAGUAUUCAUAGUGGAAUAAGUUAAAACAAACAGUUUGCUGCAUCUAUUUCCAUCUUUGGUUAUAAAAGCAGUUUAUACAGGAAUAAAUGUUGUAAUUAGUUAAUAUGUUCAUAGAAUUUUCAGUCCUUGAAUAGAGAAGAAAAGCAGCUUUUAUAUUGCAGUUAUACAAAUUCUGCUUCAAAAUGUUUCAUGGAGAUAAAUUGCAGACUAUAUUCUUGGAAAGGUAUGGAAAAUUAGUCUUUGAACAUUUUUCUUAUUUGUCUGGCCCAAUUUAGAAAUACGCUCAUAAAAUGUUUUUUUUUUCACUAAAAGUUAUAUUAUUGAACAGCUUUGUUGUGGCUGUUAACAUGCCUUCUUUAGGUUAUUGCUUUGCAAAUAUAAGAAGCCAACCUAUUCAGCACUAAGCCUUUAGAAACCUGAUUAUUAUUAUAUUACCAACUCUCUCUACAAUUAAGCUUUAUACAUUUUAUACUUUUGACUCAUUUUAAGGUAAUUUAUAGACUAAAUAUAUCUAAAAUGGGAGAAUCUCUGUGAGACUAAUUAACUAAUAACUAAUUCACUUUACAGUGAAGCACCUACACUCACUAUCCACUAUCCACUAGGAACACAUAUACACCUACAUAUUGUACAUACACUUACAAAAUUAAGGCAGAAACAUGUUGAGAGAUUCAAGAUAAUGUUCACCUCAAGCAUCAGAAGAAAAGAAAAGUCAUUGUGACUUUAUCUGUGACAUGGUUGUGUAAUAUAUGUUUUGUGUUUUGUCUUGUGUUUGGCUUUCUAUGUCUUAUUUUGAUAUGGUUCUAGUCUUGCUUCCCUUUUCCCAAUGUCCUCCUGCCUUGUGUAUGUGUCAUGUUCUUAUUGGUUAUGCUGUCAUGUGUCAUUCUGUUCCCAUUUUCAUUGGUUGUUCUUAGUCAUGUGUUCUUGUUCUGGUUUGUUAUUGGUUCCUCAUGUGUAUUUAACUCUGAGUGUUUCCCAUGUUCUUUGUCGGUUGUUGUCCAUUUAUGGCUGUUGUGUGUGAUCGUGUGUCUUGUCUCGUCUCGUCUUGUCAUUGCCUUGCCCAGGAUUACUUUGUGCUUUGUUUAAAUAAAAUCUUCACUUGCAUUUGGAUCCUCUGCCACUUUGUUCUAUGCACGUGACAGGUUGUUGGUACCAGAUGAGCUGGAUUGAGUAUUUCAGAACUGCUAGGAAAUUCACAUACAAUGGUCCAUGGAUUUUACACAUAAAUGUGUGGAAAAACACAAAACAUUUUGAAAGUUCUAUGGGUGGAAACAUCUUGAUAUGUCUUACCACUUCUACACAUAUUGCCACACUGUCUCAGCCUGGGUGUUUUCAGUUCCUGCACAGACACAAUAUUAGAAUACAUUUUCCUUACUGCUUUUUAGAGAGGUCCAGAGAGGUUACAGAAAGGUCCAUGGAAUUAACCUGUAACUUAACAAGGACACUGCUUUAUAACAAAGUAAAACAGUCAUAUCCUGUAUUAAUUCUGUCUUCUACCCUCUCUCAUACAUUUUACAAUUCCUGCAAUUCUGAACACACACCAUUUUGAUGUUCCUCACAGCCAAUGGCAAUCUGAUGACAAGCUCCUAGUUUACCUCCAAACCAAAGCAGCCUACUGCCCCUCUCUUUUAGGAUUUGAGCAGCAACAACAGCCACUUCCAAAGUGCCUUUCUUCUAGAUGCUACCAACAAUUAAACACAAAUACAUUUAUUUAUCCAAAGUGACUUGCUUACUUAUACUGUACAACCCCUGGCAAAAAGUAUGGAAUCACCCCUCUCAGACGAUGUUCAUUAAAAUGUUUAAUUGUGUAGAAAAAAAAAACAUGCAAAUAUAUGCCACAAAACAAAUUUCACUCAACAAUCCAAACUUCUGGCUGUAUAAAACACUUAAAAAAAACACAAAGAAAGAUAACUGUAGUCAAUUACAACUGUUUUUACAGAUCAAACAGAGGAAAAAAAUAUGGACUCACAAAUCUGAGGAAAAUUAUAUGCACCAUGCACAUUGCAUUUCUAAAACAAACACCUGUAUCUGAUUACAACUGCUAAUUAGUCUGCAGUUAAAAAAGAUUUAGCGUUGAACCAAGAUGAUUGACAUAACUCAUGGCUCCAACACGAGAGAUGUCAGUUGAAAAAAAGGAGAGGAUUAUCAAACUUCUCGAAGAAGACUCAUGCUUGCCGAGUAAGAUCCUGAGGAGUAACAAAGGAUGUGACCUGAAGUGGUGUCCUCAAGGAACAGGCUGAGUGGACAUGCACACCUGUCUAGCAUCCUGUUAACCAAUGUCACAAGCUUGACAAACUUAGGGCCAAUGUUAAAUUCCAUAGAGACAUUCAGGACAGCAACUUCCUCUGCUUUACCAAGACAUUCGUUGAACCCAGCAGUACUCAACUACUGAGAACAUUCACAACUUCAACUGGACUUUUUGCACAGCACAUUUUCCAUUUUACACACUAACACUGCACACAUAUGCACUUUAUUUAUAAACAUUAAUACUAUGUUUAUAUCAUCAACCAUUGUACUGUUUUCAUAAGCUGUUUUUUUUUCAGAGUUCUAUGUCACAAGGCAAUUCACUGCACGCUGUACUGUUUAUGUGAUGAAAUAAAUUAACUUUUCAAUUUUUUUAUUUGAUUUUCUUG